rnacentral:rRNA from 1 species
AGAAUCAACGCUGGCGGCGUGCCUAACACAUGCAAGUCGAACGAGAAAGGGGUAGCAAUACCCUGAGUAAAGUGGCGCACGGGUGAGUAACACGUGACUAACCUACCCUUGAGUGGGGGAUAACUGAGGGAAACCUUAGCUAAUACCGCAUAAUACCCACGGGUCAAAGGAGCAAUUCGCUCGAGGAGGGGUCGCGGCCGAUUAGUUAGUUGGCGGGGUAAUGGCCCACCAAGACGAUGAUCGGUAUCCGGCCUGAGAGGGCGCACGGACACACUGGAACUGAAACACGGUCCAGACUCCUACGGGAGGCAGCAGUGGGGAAUUUUGCGCAAUGGGGGAAACCCUGACGCAGCAACGCCGCGUGGAGGAUGAAGUCCUUCGGGACGUAAACUCCUUUCGAUCGGGACGAUUAUGACGGUACCGGAAGAAGAAGCCCCGGCUAACUUCGUGCCAGCAGCCGC